rnacentral:rRNA from 1 species
UGGGGAAUAUUGCACAAUGGGCGAAAGCCUGAUGCAGCAACGCCGCGUGAGUGAUGAAGGUCUUCGGAUUGUAAAGCUCUGUCUUUUGGGACGAUAAUGACGGUACCAAAGGAGGAAGCCACGGCUAACUACGUGCCAGCAGCCGCGGUAAUACGUAGGUGGCGAGCGUUGUCCGGAUUUACUGGGCGUAAAGGGUGCGUAGGCGGAUGUUUAAGUGAGAUGUGAAAUACCCGGGCUUAACUUGGGUGCUGCAUUUCAAACUGGAUAUC